rnacentral:rRNA from 1 species
AACGAACGCUGGCGGCAUGCCUAACACAUGCAAGUCGAACGAUGCUUUCGGGCAUAGUGGCGCACGGGUGCGUAACGCGUGGGAAUCUGCCCUUGGGUUCGGAAUAACAGUUGGAAACGACUGCUAAUACCGGAUGAUGACGUUAAGUCCAAAGAUUUAUCGCCCGAGGAUGAGCCCGCGUCGGAUUAGCUAGUUGGUGGGGUAAAGGCCUACCAAGGCGACGAUCCGUAGCUGGUCUGAGAGGAUGAUCAGCCACACUGGGACUGAGACACGGCCCAG